CUAAUACCGCACGAGCCCGAGAGGGGAAAGAUUUAUCGCCAUUGGAGGAGCCCGCGUUCGAUUAGGUAGUUGGUGAGGUAACGGCUCACCAAGCCGACGAUCGAUAGCUGGUCUGAGAGGAUGAUCAGCCACACUGGGACUGAGAUACGGCCCAGACUCCUACGGGAGGCAGCAGUGGGGAAUAUUGGACAAUGGGGGCAACCCUGAUCCAGCAAUGCCGCGUGAGUGAUGAAGGCCUUCGGGUUGUAAAGCUCUUUUGGCGGGGACGAUGAUGACGGUACCCGCAGAAUAAGCCCCGGCUAACUUCGUGCCAGCAGCCGCGGUAAUACGAAGGGGGCAAGCGUUGUUCGGAAUUACUGGGCGUAAAGGGCGCGUAGGCGGCUUAUCAAGUCAGGCGUGAAAUUCCCGGGCUCAACCUGGGGGCUGCGCUUGAUACUGAUGAGCUUGAAUGCGGGAGAGGAUAGUGGAAUUCCCAGUGUAGAGGUGAAAUUCGUAGAUAUUGGGAAGAACACCGGUGGCGAAGGCGGCUAUCUGGCCCGUUAUUGACGCUGAGGCGCGAAAGCGUGGGGAGCGAACAGGAUUAGAUACCCUGGUAGUCCACGCCGUAAACGGUGGGCGCUAGGUGUGGGGGCCAUUCCACGGUCUCUGUGCCGCAGCUAACGCAUUAAGCGCCCCGCCUGGGGAGUACGGCCGCAAGGCUAAAACUCAAAGGAAUUGACGGGGGCCCGCACAAGCGGCGGAGCAUGUGGAUUAAUUCGA
rnacentral:rRNA from 1 species